AAAGAGGCAAUUAAGUUAAAAUGAGGUCACGAAAGUGGGCCCUAAUUUAAUAUGACUGGUGUUCUUGUAAGAAGAGGAGGUUAGGACAGAGGGACACACAAAGGAAAGACCAUGUGAGGACAGAGGGAGAAGAUGGCCCUCUACAAGCCAGUGAGAGGCCUCAGAAGCAGCCAACCCUGCGGACACACUGAUCUUGGACUUCUCAUCUCCAGAACUGUGAGAAAAGAAAUUUCUGUUGUUGAACCCCCCCCAUCUGUUUUUACUUUGUUAUGGCCGCCCUAGCAAAGGAAUACAUUGCUCAUUUGGAUGUAAAACAGGUUUCUUCUCCACUUCACAAGUCUGAAAGCCUCCCUUGGUAAAUCCUUAACCUCAUUAAGCCCAUUCUCUCAGGAUAUCUGCCCUUUAGCAGCACAGAGCCCCCGUAGACGCUGAGAAAUUAGUCUUUCCUCAAAUAAGAUCAAACUCUUUGGCACAUCAGUCUCCCUAAGUUGGAAGGGCGCAGUACAACAGUCUAUUCUUCCUUAAUAAAGAAUAUUCCAGCUCUUACGAAGCGGGCAGCAUCUACCGCCAGAGUGUCUUCUGUUGGCUGGGAAUGGCGGUUUCGCCCUUCCCGCUCGUGCGCACGCUUGCAUUCACGCGUCCACUUAACCGCGGUCAGUGAGAGCCUGCUGUGUGCAAGCCGCGGUGUCAAAGCCCAGCCUGUGCGGUGCUGCUUGAAGGAGGUCACAGAAAAGAACAGUCGCUGAAGGCAGAUGUGGAGGAAGAGAGCAGUUCUUUCUUUCUUUUUCUUUAAGAGAGUUUGGGAGAUACGAAGCACUGACGGGAAUAACCUGAUGGAAGGGAGACGCGACGAGCGCAUGCGCUCGCGGGCCUCAGCGGGCGGGCGCUGGCUUCCGCUUGGCGGGACCGAAGUCUGGAAAGUUUGAGAAGCAGAUUACAAAAGGACUCCAGCAGUCAAGCACACAGGGAAGGUCCUCCCACAAACGAUGAAGGGCCUAUAAGGUGGUGUCCACAAGAGUGGGUAGAGAAAUAUGGAAGAUAAAGACCGCCCAAGGGAACAUCCUGCCCAUCCAGCCGGGUGAGUGAAAUAAAUGAUCACACUUUGCAAUUCA
rnacentral:lncRNA from 1 species